rnacentral:rRNA from 1 species
AUGGCUGAGGCUAUACUUCUCGCUGUGUCAAAGAUUGGGACAGUCGUUUUGAAUGAAGCUGUCUUGGCUGUCAUUGACAAGCUGUCGACGAAGGUUGAUAAUCUGAAGGAAUUGCCAGCAAAGAUUAAAAGAAUCGACAUAGAACUGAAGACGAUGAAUGAUGUAAUUCAAGAUUUGGGUACAACACAUCUCAGCAACAAUGUCGUCAGGGGUUGGAUUGGACAUGUGAGGAAGCUGGCCUACCAUGUCGAGGAUGUGAUUGACAAGUACUCUUAUGAGGCUCUUAAGCUCAAGGAUGAAGGCUUCCUACAUCGGUACAUCUUCAGAGGUUCACGCCAUAUAAAGGUCUUCAGUAAAAUUGCUGAGGAAGUUAUACGGAUAGAGGAUGAGAUCAGGCAGGUCAAAGGACUGCCUACUUAUUGGAGCAACACAGUCCAACCCAUAAGAAAUGAGCAUGUAGAGAUUGAUAGGCAGAGAUGUGGAGGCUGCUUCCCGGAACGUGUUAGUGAUGAGGAUCUUGUCGGAAUUGAUGAAAACAGGAGCAAGUUGACCGAAUGGCUGGCCACUGAUGAGAAAGAAAACACAGUGAUUACAGUUUCUGGUAUGGGAGGCUUGGGGAAAACAACUCUUGUGAAAAAUGUGUAUGAUCGGGAGAAAGCCAACUUCCCUGAUGCUCAUGCUUGGAUUGUGGUGUCACGGGCAUAUAAUGUAGGUGAUUUGUUGAAGACAUUGCUCACGAAGAUACAACAACACACACAAGAGUCACCGCCGCCGUCACCUCUUAGGACGGACACCAAACCUGAUGUUUUUGAGCUAAAAGAGGCGAUAAAGAAGAUACUGCAAGAUAGGAAGUGCUUGAUCGUGCUUGAUGAUGUGUGGAAUCCAGAAGCAUAUAGUCUGAUGUGCAGUGCAUUUCAGGGUCUCCAAGGAAGCCGUGUUAUGAUCACGACACGGAGGGAAGAUGUUGCGGCUCUUGCUCUAGUGAGCCGUCGCCUACAACUCCAGCCAUUGGGUAGAGACGAGUCAUUUAAGCUAUUCUGCUCAAGGGCUUUCAACAACACCCCAGACCGCAAGUGCCCUCCGGAACUUGAGAAGGUGGCUGGUGAUGUAGUUAAGAGGUGUCAUGGCCUGCCAUUGACCAUUGUAUCUUCUGGCAGCCUAUUGUCCACGAAGCAGCCGACACAGCAUGCCUGGAAUCACAUGUACAAUCAUCUCCGGAGCGAACUAUAG